GGCGCGCCAAGCAGACAGAGCCCAAGGCGCCCUCCAAGAACGCGCGCUACUUGGAAUUCCCCUGCCGGAAACCCGCAAAGCUGGAAAGCACCUCAUCUCAGCCCCUCAUUGCACCAAUAAGGAAGUAGGUCCCAGCGAAAAGAGGCGGCAGGGGCGGAACACACGAGCGACAGAGCUACCGUAAUUUAUUGUUAUAGAUUUGUACAACCAGAUCAGUCCUUGAAGGAUGGGAAAGAGCACUGAUAAUCACAGAAGCAAAAGUGAUCCUUCACCAAAGGUAGCUUGAGAAGCACAGAGGCCUCAUCAGUAGCCUAAGAACAAUGAAGGGAAGAGACAUAUGCGACCCAAUAACAGUUCCCUGACCACGGAACGAACCUGAGCCUUCUGCCCUGGAAGCUCAGAGUCUUAACCACUGGACCGCCAGGAAAUACACUCUGGGACUUCCCUGGUGGUGCAAUGGUUAAGAAUCUGCCUGCCAAUGCAGGGGACACGAGUUCGAUCCCUGGUCCAGGAAGAUCCCACAUGUCGCGGAGCAACUAAGCCCGUGCACCACAACUACAGAAGCCUGCGUGCCUAGAACCUGUGCUCCGCAACAAGAGAAGCCACUGCAAUGAGAAGCCUGUGCACCACAACGAAGAGUAGCCCCUGCUCACUGCAAUUAGAGAAAGACCACGUGCAGCAACUAAGGCCCAACACAGCCAAAAAUAAAAAUAAAUAAAUAAAUAAAAUUGUUAAAAAAAAUCACACACACACAAAAAGGUGAUACACUCUGAAACAUUUAGGGGUAAAGGGGUAUAAUGUCUGCAACUUCCUCCCCAAUGAUCAUAUGUAUAUGUUUAUAUAUAUAAUUAUACAUUAUACAUAAUAUACAUAUUAUUACAUGUACGUGAUUAUGGAGCAAAUAAGGGCAAAUAAGGCAAAAUGUUAACAAUUGAUGAAUUAGGUAAAGGACAUAUAGCAAUUCUUAUAUGAAAAUAAAAAGUUAUUUAAAAAUAAAUAAUAAAGCCUACUGCCAACAGAUGUGGACAAUUCUGAUGUGCAGCAAUUCCUCAUGCUUCUCACGAGUCUUUGAGUUUUCUGUUACAAUAAGUCCCAAGACCUGUAUCCUGGGGUUAAAUUGUGCAACCAACUGAUGGAUAUG